GAGUAAAAGUCGUAACCAAGGU
rnacentral:rRNA from 1 species